CCCGAUUUCUUUUCCUCGCCGGAGAAAUGUGCUUGCUCUACUCCAACCAGACUCACUGUGGCACCUGCGUAUGUACGGAUUAGUGAAAAAAAUUGAAAAAAAAUAAAAUCCAAUCCAAAAUUUACUACCGUGUUCCGAAAUUGAAAUCAAAUCUGAAUAACUUUUUAAAAUAAAAAAAAAAAUCAUAGCCACAAUCGCAAA
rnacentral:lncRNA from 1 species